rnacentral:pre_miRNA from 1 species
CGACUACUCCCUCUGUCCCAAAUUUCUUGUCUUAGAUUUGUCUAGAUACGGAUGUAUCUAAUACUAAAAUGUGACUUGAUACAUCCGUAUCUGGACAAAUCUAAGACAAUAAUUUUGGGACGGAGUGAGUACUUU